CAGUCGCCACGGGAAUACGUAGGUGGCAAGCGUUGUCCGGAAUUAUUGGGCGUAAAGGGCUCGCAGGCGGUUUCUUAAGUCUGAUGUGAAAGCCCCCGGCUCAACCGGGGAGGGUCAUUGGAAACUGGGAGACUUGAGUGCAGAAGAGGAGAGUGGAAUUCCACGUGUAGCGGUGAAAUGCGUAGAGAUGUGGAGGAACACCAGUGGCGAAGGCGACUCUCUGGUCUGUAACUGACGCUGAGGAGCGAAAGCGUGGGGAGCGAACAGGAUUAGAUACCCGCGUAGUCCCUGUCUCUUAUAC
rnacentral:rRNA from 1 species